CAACACUGUGACCUUACAGUUCUUUACUUAGGGAUCCAGAUCCAGAACACUUCAAAUGUUGCUAUUUAAGUCUUCACCAGAAGGUUUGGUGAUAAGUGCAAGGGAUGUUGACAUAAUUUCUGGAGAGUAAGCAAAUGAUAGUGUGCAAGGGAUAUACCUGGCUAAAAGAUUACACAGGCAUCUCUGUCCUUGAAGGAACAAAAUGAAGGAUCCAACAAAACCCAGAAGACUAACAUCUUUAGAGAACCAGUCUCCGUGCUACAAAGAAGCUUGAACCACCUCUUGAAGAGGACUGCAUAGAGAGGAACCAUUAGGUAUCAUCAGUCCUCUGCUAAUUCUUCAGGUGUGGACUUAUCUUACAGCUCUGUGAAUUUCUUCUAAGGGAUAGCACCCUGGGAUGAGAA